UAAACUAUAGUUUACAUAAAAUAUCUAACUUGCAAUUAGAAGACUAGCUAGUUUAU
rnacentral:tRNA from 1 species